rnacentral:rRNA from 1 species
UACGUAGGGUGCAAGCGUUGUCCGGAAUUAUUGGGCGUAAAGAGCUCGUAGGCGGUUUGUCGCGUCUGCUGUGAAAACCCGAGGCUCAACCUCGGGCCUGCAGUGGGUACGGGCAGACUAGAGUGCGGUAGGGGAGAUUGGAAUUCCUGGUGUAGCGGUGGAAUGCGCAGAUAUCAGGAGGAACACCAGUGGCGAAGGCGACUCUCUGGGCUGUAACUGACGCUGAGGCGCGAAAGCGUGGGGAGCAAACAGG